CAGGCUUAACACAUGCAAGUCGAGGGGCAGCAUGGUCUUAGCUUGCUAAGGCCGAUGGCGACCGGCGCACGGGUGAGUAACACGUAUCCAACCUGCCGUCUACUCUUGGACAGCCUUCUGAAAGGAAGAUUAAUACAAGAUGGCAUCAUGAGUCCGCAUGUUCACAUGAUUAAAGGUAUUCCGGUAGACGAUGGGGAUGCGUUCCAUUAGAUAGUAGGCGGGGUAACGGCCCACAUAGUCUUCGAUGGAUAGGGGUUCUGAGAGGAAGGUCCCCCACAUUGGAACUGAGACACGGUCCAAACUCCUACGGGAGGCAGCAGUGAGGAAUAUUGGUCAAUGGGCGAGAGCCUGAACCAGCCAAGUAGCGUGAAGGAUGACUGCCCUAUGGGUUGUAAACUUCUUUUAUAAAGGAAUAAAGUCGGGUAUGGAUACCCGUUUGCAUGUACUUUAUGAAUAAGGAUCGGCUAACUCCGUGCCAGCAGCCGCGGUAAUACGGAGGAUCCGAGCGUUAUCCGGAUUUAUUGGGUUUAAAGGGAGCGUAGAUGGAUGUUUAAGUCAGUUGUGAAAGUUUGCGGCUCAACCGUAAAAUUGCAGUUGAUACUGGAUAUCUUGAGUGCAGUUGAGGCAGGCGGAAUUCGUGGUGUAGCGGUGAAAUGCUUAGAUAUCACGAAGAACUCCGAUUGCGAAGGCAGCCUGCUAAGCUGCAACUGACAUUGAGGCUCGAAAGUGUGGGUAUCAAACAGGAUUAGAUACCCUGGUAGUCCACACGGUAAACGAUGAAUACUCGCUGUUUGCGAUAUACUGCAAGCGGCCAAGCGAAAGCGUUAAGUAUUCCACCUGGGGAGUACGCCGGCAACGGUGAAACUCAAAGGAAUUGACGGGGGCUCGCACAAGCGGAGGAACAUGUGGUUUAAUUCGAUGAUACGCGAGGAACCUUACCCGGGCUUAAAUUGCAGAUGAAUUACGGUGAAAGCCGUAAGCCGCAAGGCAUCUGUGAAGGUGCUGCAUGGUUGUCGUCAGCUCGUGCCGUGAGGUGUCGGCUUAAGUGCCAUAACGAGCGCAACCCUUGUUGUCAGUUACUAACAGGUUCCGCUGAGGACUCUGACAAGACUGCCAUCGUAAGAUGUGAGGAAGGUGGGGAUGACGUCAAAUCAGCACGGCCCUUACGUCCGGGGCUACACACGUGUUACAAUGGGGGGUACAGAGGGCCGCUACCACGCGAGUGGAUGCCAAUCCCCAAAACCUCUCUCAGUUCGGACUGGAGUCUGCAACCCGACUCCACGAAGCUGGAUUCGCUAGUAAUCGCGCAUCAGCCACGGCGCGGUGAAUACGUUCCCGGGCCUUGUACACACCGCCCGUCAAGCCAUGGGAGCCGGGGGUACCUGAAGUGCGUAACCGCGAGGAGCGCCCUAGGGUAAAACUGGUGACUGGGGC
rnacentral:rRNA from 1 species